UGGGGAAUUUUGGACAAUGGGGGCAACCCUGAUCCAGCCAUGCCGCGUGAGUGAAGAAGGCCUUCGGGUUGUAAAGCUCUUUCAGCCGGGAAGAAAUCACAUGGGUUAAUACCCUGUGUGGAUGACG
rnacentral:rRNA from 1 species